AGACCCAUCGAAAGAACUUCAAGUGAUGAGGAGCAAGGUCUGGAAGCUGAACAAAGGACACCUGCUUGUACAGCUUACCCUAACAUGUGAAGUUACACAGCGGAAAGAGAUCGUCAAAUUCUGGGUUCCGAAGCAGUAAGUCUGUACUGCAGAGGUCAAGGAAUUUGACGUCCUCACCCCGGACAGAUUCUCGGAGCGCGCUUUGUCGGCUCUCCCCACGCACCUGGCCGCUUAGGAGGAAUAAAUACCAAACAGUGUAACGAUCACUGCGGUCAACUUGGUUUUCGUUCAGCACUGAAACUACGGAGGUACAGCUAUUUUAGGUGGCUAUCAAAACCCUAAAUCCACCCCCACAGUAAACCGAGGUGUUAAAGCUUAAGCAGGAACAAUUAAAGGGGAAAUGACAUGACUCUAGAGUUGGAAACUGGACAGCAUUUACCAACAUGAGGCAAAAUAGGUAAAAAGAGAUGGAUUUCCACUCUGGAAGAUUUGUCGAAGAACAGGUAUCUCAGGCAAAUGAAAGAACUCACUUGGACCUGUAAGGCGAAAAGAGGCUUCCAGAGAACUGUGCUUUGUGGUGGAUGGACUUUCCCAGGCAAGAAAUCUGAAUGGUGAGGGGCAAACCAGGUGACCGGCCCAGGGUUCACUUUCUUCAUCAGUAAAAUCUUAACCUAGUCCAGCAGCAGCUAUAAUAGGUACAAGUUGAAAUGAGCCUGUGUUCGCCAACCUUGAUGAAUUUUUAAAAACUAAAUUAUGUGACUAACUGGAAGCCUUAAAAUGAAAGGAAAGAACCCAGUCUUGCUUCCUGAGGUCAAAAUGUCUGAGAAUUCUGUUGUCUCCAAGGACAAACUGCAAGGAGAUAAAGACAUCUGAGAUCACAUGGCUGGCACUUCCACUCUGAGACUGCAAUGUAAGGAACACAGGAAAACACCACGGCCGGCAUUUCACUGGCUUUAGGAGCCUGUAUGCAACAAUCUCCUCCUCACACGCUGCUCAGAAAGCAUUUCUUCCCAGCAAUUUCACAAGGAGAACAAAAGGGACUCAGAUGGAGAAUUUGUGAGCUUGGACAACAGGACCUCUCUAAGCCUGCCAGAAUGCUCGGUGCUUGGAAUAUAUUUGCCAGGAUCUGUCCAGGCCACUGUUAUUGCAACAAAAAGCGAACAUGAAAGAAUAAGUUGCUACUGGAGACAAGUGCGGGAAUUCACACAUCCUCAUCCGUGAACAGGUGCUUUCAAACCCCAGGCUUCAGAACAGUUUCCCCAUGCUUGCAUUUUGAUGGUGCUAUGAUGAAGCAAAUUAAAAAACAGAAGAGACAUUUUGAUUAUCGCACUGCCAAAUCUGAACAUUCCUGUUACGAUCUUGCACUUGCACGAGGCUGAGCUCACAGGGAGACUGCACAGUAGGAAGAAUAUGGACGUGUGUAAAGACAAGAAAAAGGACAGUUCUAAAUUUUAAAUGAUCCAGGCGUGGUGACCCACGCCUGUAAUCCCAGCACUCGGGAGGCUGAGGCAGGAGGAUUGUUACGAGUUCAAGGCCAGCCUGGGCUACAAAGUGAGCUCAAGGCCAGACUGAACUGCAUAGCGAGACCCUGUCUCAAAAAGAUAACAACAAAUAAAUAAAUUUUAAAUGAAGUCUUGGUUAGCAAUCUAACAAAUAAAAUUUCAAGAGAAAUACAUGUAGUAUAAUAUACUUUUCUCUCAGGAUUUUAAAAACUUUUUCAACUUUGGAACUCC
ensembl:lincRNA